rnacentral:lncRNA from 1 species
CGUCGGUUAUGGUGGACCAAAACGCAGCAGGUAUGUGUAUACUCAUCUUCUUUAUUUACGGGAAAAGAAGGAAAAAAACCAAACAAACACGUAUACAAAAAAAUAACAACGCAAUGACCGACAAAAUAACAGUCUUGAAGGCAACACAGCAAUCCAAGAACAAUCUCCCACAAAUACAAGACAAACACACCCAACUAAUAUAGGACUUCCAAUCAAAGGCAACACCAAACAGCUGCCUUCAAUUGGAAGUCCACCCCAAUUAACUCAACAUAGAAACACACUCACUAGACUACACAUAGAAAUACAUAAACAUAGACCAUAACUCAAAACCCGGUAAUAAUAAAUCAAACACCCUCCUAACUAACACACCACCCUGAACCACAUAAAACAAAUACCCUCUGCCACGUCCUGACCAAACUACAAUAACAAUUAACCCUUAUACUGGCCAGGACGUAACAGAAACAAUGUUGAUUCAAUCAGUUUUGCCCAGUGGGUAAUGACUGGUUUGUUCUUUCAUAGCCAUCAUAACAACACUGCUAGAAUCUCUAUCUUCUGCAUAUUUUACUCAGGAAGCUGAAGACUUUUUGAAGGGAGGCCCUCCUAUAGAAUCAUUAGCUUUAUACUGUAGGCCUAAAACCAGAAACAUCAUGCUGUCCACAACCUAUUUUGAGCGUGCAUGCAGCUCAGCAUACAGUAUGGUCUUGGAAAAGAGGGCAGGCCUCUGAGAUGAUAACUGAACUGUGUCUUCCCUCUGGCUGUGGUGUUUUGAAAAGUGAGCAGGAUAAGACUGCUCCACUCUUGUUCAGUAUGUGGCCCUUUACUGUAGUCUUUUAGGCUACCACAGGCCAUUGCCUUUGCCUCUGUCAUUGGAGCAGCACAUUAACACUGAGGGGCAACACUCUGUUUCCCCUGUUUUUCCAUAGCCACCUAACACACUGUUGGCCAAGUGUGAACUGAACACACAGUAGCACCGAGAGACUCAUUUGCAUGCAGAUCGUUUCACACUCCAUUUGAGUGCAUUGUGCGAUGUGUGUCCCUCACUUCGAUGUGAUAGUAGGCCUAUUUAUCCCCAUUCAGACUGCUUGGUGUUGAGAAGGAUUUAUUGAUGAAUACGGUCCCCUAUGUACUGUACUGUAAUACCUAAAUUCAGAUUGUGUGUUCAUCAAAUCAAAUCAAAGUGUAUCGGUCACAUACACAUAUUUAGCAGAUGUUAUUGCAGAUGUAGCGAAAUGCUUGUAAUCCAAAAUGUGUGCAUCAUGGAUUACAAUAUAAUAUACAAGUUAAAUGGACACAUUAGGUAAUAGCCUAACAGAAUAUCAUGCCUAAAUUAUUGACCAUGCAUGUCUUAGGCACUUCUGGUAAACCCCAGCAACAGUGAAGAUGUUUUAAACAAGGGGCAUGUGAAAACCUGCUUUGGACUGCUGACAUAUUUUCAGUACGCUAGUAUAAAAAAAUUCAGUAGCACUGAACAAACAAAACAAGACUGCUAAGCAGUGGCAUUCCAAACACAUUUAACAAACUUCCCAAUAGUUUCAGAGAAGUAACCGAACAUAAGACUAUUGAUGACUAUACAAAGAUUAAGGACUGCAUGAUCUCGUCCCCCUAUUAUUGGUGUUGCGUCAGUGUCUGUGUCUUAAAAGUAAAGGUUGCGUAAAAACAACUAUACCAUUAUUCAUCUGCAACAUCUAGCUGUUGUACUAUAGCCAACACAACAAAGAAAGGAACACCUCCAUUUCCGAAACUAAAAACGCAGACUUCUCUAGUACCCAGACCUGUAGUCCUUACAAUGAACCUCCUGGUUGGCUAAACAGACCUUUUGUCACGACACAGUAAGACAACUCUAUAUGGAGCAGGGAUCAAAGGAAUUGAGUGCGAGUCACUUUGACGGGCGUCUGUAUCAUGUUUUCUUUAGCCAGAUGCAUCAUCAAUCAUGGUCCCUCAACCAUGUUUGUUUUUCCCUUUGUACUCAGCCUGUGGAUGAGGUAUGAAUAUCAUUGGGCAUAGAGUUGUGUGUGUAUCAUUGGGCAUAGAGUUGUGUGUGUGUGUGUGUGUGUGUGUGUGUGUGUGUGUGUGUGUGUGUGUGUGUGUGUGUGUGUGUGUGUGUGUGUGUGUGUGUCAAAGUGUCAGAAACCAUCAUAGACACACACACAGACAAAAUACACCUGUGGAAAUGCCUCUUUGCAUAGAUAUCCAAUACUUAUCUCAUGACAGGCUGCACUUUAUGAGUCAUGUACAAAAUAUGGCAGUUGCUACAGUGAAGAGUUCCACAGAAAGUCAACCGCAAUAUCAUAAUAAGCAAACGUUGAAUAAUGUUGUUUCAUCUUCUCAGUGUAAGAAAUGCCGCCUCUAUUCCAGAGAAAUACAGGUAGUCAAGCAGGUACAGAGCAGGGCAGAGAAGAAAAUACCAAUUCUCAGAAAACAGUUUACGGUCACCAAAUGGGAAGUGUCUUUCCACAUAACUUUCCACAUAACAAGCACAGUAAUAAUCCCACACAUUUUACUGUACUUAUCAGGACUCAGGAUAAGACCCAAAUGCAGACAGUUCGAAUCACAGAUGUUAAUUUACAAAACAGGGGUGCAGGCAAAUGACAGGUCAAGGGCAGGUAGAGGUCAGUAAUCCAGGGCAGAGUCAGAAAGGUACAGAACGACAGGCAGGCUCAGGGUCAGGGCAGGCAGAAUAGUCAAAACUGGGAAGACUGGUUGGGGGGAUGCGCUGCUGACAGCAGGGUUACUGAGAGGCUGGGAGGUUACGGCAGUGGCUGGCUGUCUAAUAGAAAAUCCACGGACUUGCUCCAGCAACGUGUGGAAAGCACGGUUGUGGCGUUCCGCCAAGGUCUGGAAUCCUUCCAUAAGGUUGUGAAGUAACUCCUCUUUUCUUCCAAUGGUGGCUCUGUGGGAGGAGACGGCGUCACGGACCUGGUCCGAGUCUGCUGAGUCAGUCAUGGCCAGUUCAUACUAUCAGGACUCAGGAUAAGACCCAGAUGCAGACAGUUCGAAUCACAGAUGUUUAUUUACAAAACAGGGGGCAGGCAAAUGACAGGUAAAAGGCAGGCAGAGGUCAGUAAUCCAGGGCAGAGUCAGAAAGGUACAGAACGGCAGGCAGGCUCAGGGUCAGGGCAGGCAGAAUGGUCAAACCUGGGAAGACUAGGAAGAACAAAAACUAGAGCACAGAAAACACGGGAAUACACUGGUAGGACUUGAUGGGACAAGACGAACUGGCAACAGACAAACCGAAAACGCAGGUAUAAAUACACAGGAGAUAAUGGGGACAAAUGGGAAACACCCGAAGAUAGGUGAAACAGAUCAGGGUGUGACAGUACUGUCUGGAACAUAAAGCACAGCACACAAGAGGCUUCAAUUCCAAGAGGAACAACAUGAUUUUCAUAUUCUCUAAAAUAUGAAAUAC